rnacentral:rRNA from 1 species
UCGAGAAUCUUCCGCAAUGCGCGCAAGCGUGACGGAGCGACGCCGCGUGGGUGAUGAAGGCUUUCGGGUUGUAAAGCCCUGUCAGCUACUAGGAAACGCGGGUAACGAAUAGUUAUCUCGCUUGACUAUGUGGCAAAGGAAGCACCGGCUAAAUACGUGCCAGCAGCCGCGGUAAUACGUAUGGUGCAAACGUUGUUCGGAAUCACUGGGCCUAAAGAGCGCGUAGGCGGCCAGGUAAGUCAGACGUGAAAUCCCUCGGCUCAACCGAGGAAGUGCAUUUGAUACUGCCUGGCUAGAGUGCAGGAGGGGAGAGUGGAAUUCCUGGUGGAGCGGUGAAAUGCGUAGAUAUCAGGAGGAACGUCGGUGGCGAAAGCGACUCUCUGGUCUGCUACUGACGCUGAGGCGCGAAAGCUAGGGGAGCAAACGGGAUUAGAUACCCCCGUAGUCC